GCUGGGCGUGGUGGCACGCCUGUAGUCCCAGCUACUCGGGAGGCUGAGGCAGAAGAAUUGCUUGAACCCAGGAGGCAGAGGUUGCAGUGAGCCAAGAUCAUACCACUGCACUCCAGCCUGGGUGACAGAGCAAGACUCUGUCUCAA
rnacentral:sRNA from 1 species